UCUGAUUUUUGCUUCAUUUCAGCAGGAAUAAAAUUAUCUGAGUCAUAGACCUAUGCCAUGUUUUGAUUUGGAAAUAUCAGUUAGCCCCUUUCUGAAAAGACAGGAAAAGAGUAUUUUUUAAAGUUUAAUUUGGAUAGGUACAUUCAAAAGUAACCCUUGGGCUGGAGCUGAGAGUGCAGUGGAGCCUCUGAAAGGCUCUAGUUAAGGCCUAAUGGAUACAGUAAAAAAGAUACAAUCUAAAGCAGAAAAAGUUAACAAUAGAGUGCAAGAAUCUCAGAUGGCACUAGAGUUUGUCUCCUCUGAACUAAGUGACACGAAAUCAGUCUGCAGCAGCACUAGUUCCCAUGUAUUUAUAUAAUUGUGGGAAUAAAAUCUAAUGAAGCCCUUUAAAGCAAAAUUUUAGCAUUUGUUAUUGGUUUUAGUUUCCUCCCAUUGCCAUUUUGGGUCAACACAUUCAGACAGAAGAAGAGCAGAAGCAGUUCUGGUAUGAAUAUUAGUAUUGCAUAUUCCUAUUUAAUAUGUGAAAUGUGGGAGUGGGAAUAUUCCUCUUGUAUAUGUAGGUGUGAGUUAUGCUUUUUUUAAAUUCUUUUCUUUAAAACCAGUUUUGACUGUUACAUGUGCUUGCAUGUCAGCAUUAGUUUGUGUAAAUUAAACUUCAGGUGCAUAAAGACAAUGACAGCUGCAGAGAGAUGCUCCCUUCUCUUUUUCUAAUCUUAGCUUUGAUCUUUAAAAAAAAAAAUCCUGGAAGUUAAAAUUCAAAUAUUUUCAUUAGGGUGUCAGAAAGAAGAAACAAACAGAAGAACAAGAGAACUCCUGCCUCUUUCUUUCAUCCCAAACCUUGCCUAAAAACCUGAAGGUGCUACUCACAGUAUUGCCAAGUUAUCCUACUACAAAGGGCUGCUCAGGAUUUAUAAUAUUAGUUCCCUAAAAACAUAGGCUGUGUUUGAUUUAUUUAUCUAUUUAUUUAUUUAGUGCUGGCUUCACUCACUUACUGAGGAUCUUUUCUAUUUAUACAGUACCUGUUAGAUAAAGAAACUAUAUACUUAUGUUAGAUAUGCCUCCCAUUCUGUUACAACUAGAUUACUUUUUUUAAGUACUGCUAGAGCAGAACGUCAGGAGCAGUCAGUGUCUCGUUCUUGUUCUUCAAAUGAGUUGCUGUUAGAAACUGCAUCUAAUCUAAAUAUCCAUCCUCAGCCCACCCUUCCAGAGCUGUCCAUACCAGGGCACAGAUUUCCAGUUCCUUCAGUUUUAAAAGGGAAUGUGUCCUGUAAAAUCCCUUGCGUGCGACUCACCACGCUAUGACCUGAUGUCAGUGUUUGUUUCCUGUUUCAUAGUAGGGGCUGGCAGGUGGGAGAAAGUAAACCUGAGCAAAGGGAGAAGACCUGUAUGUCUUGAAAAAGUAACUGUAACCUAUUUUUAUCUUUUUCCUGCUGUCAGAAGGAUGUAAGCCUGUAUGAAUAGGGCCUGCACAGAUUCCAACAUAAGUUCAUUGCAUACAAUGGGGAUAUUGGAACUUCUACCCCUUAGUCCAGAAGUUACUCUACUGAAUUUCACAGAACUGAGUAAAUUGGCUGAAUUCAACAGCUCCUGAAAGGAAAUGUGUAGAGCAUCUUUUUAUGCACGAGGGCAGAAAACCUUUUUAUGGAUUGCUGCCUUUGCCUUGCAGGUGGCUGCAGUAUUGCACCCAGGGCAUCUCCAGGAAAUGUGGAUCUUGCUGUUGAUAGAGGUGGUGUUGUGGCUGCUCAGCAACAAACCACAGGAGAACAAGUCCUGGCAUAAAUAAUAACAGCAGCUCUGAUUCUGCAGGGGGUGAAGCUGAUGAGUGGUGUUUUGUCCUUGGCAUCAGAUUUGGGCUUUCUCUUGUUGCACCAGACAUAGACUCUUUCGACCAGAGACCCCCAGGGUGUGUUUUGCAGUAUGGGCCUUCUGUGGCCCUGCUGCUGGCACGGAGGAGAGCAGUUUCCCAGUUUUCUUGGACACCCUGAUCAGCUUUUCAGUGUGCUUUCUGACACAGCUCCAGUGUACUGCCUUGUGGUGGUGUCUGCUUCUAUCCAGAGACUUCUCUCGGGAAGUAGCUGAGCUAAUUUUAGAAGCAAAAACAGUCAAAAGAGGCCCAUUUCAAAUGCAGCCAGAGUACCUCCUGUCUAAUCAGUUAUGAAAUCUGAUUGAUGCUAAAGCCUUUUCUUAGCAGAAUGUUUAUUAAUCUUGAAGGGGGUGGGGAGAAAAACAACACAAGAGAUCUUUUACGAGGCAGACAUAAAUGAACAGAAGCUCUUUAAAUAUGAGCUUGUGGGAACUGAGAGAUUGAUGCAAUACAUCACAGGGACAGAAAGGCCAGACGACAGCUUUCUGAGUACAUGUUGGCAUAAAAUCAGAUAGAGAGAAAAGAAACUAUGGUACUUUUUGCCUGACAUGACCUGAGGAAAAUUACUGGCCGUUGUGUGGCUCUUGCAUCGUUGUCUCAGGCAUAUCAUGUUCUGUAGUGAUUAAAAUGCAACUUCUGGUGACAGCAGGAACCCAAAUGCCCUCCUGAAUUGUGUAAAAAGUGCGACAGUUGUUCCUUCAGCCCAGGUCAUGUUUCAGUAUGUGCUUCAGCAACUGCUUUUUAUUCCAUUUGAUUCCUAUAUCAUUUUUCUGAAUGAAAACAGAGGAAACACAAAAUCUUAGGGCAAUAUUCUGUUUAUAAGAGGAAAGGUCACCUGUUGUCAGGGUCUGUGAAUAUUGCAUGGAUUUGCACUGUUCCAGGAAGGCAGGGAAGACAAAAUUGAAAUCAAGCAUAUUUUUAAAUCUUUCAUCUAAGCUCUCUUUUACUGCUCUCUUUCAAGUUGUGCUGCAGAAUGAACAGCUUCAGGAGAAUACGUUUUGCACCAUGAGUAGAACUAGUGUUAUUUCCAUAGCAGGGCUACUGUUGAAGACUCUUUUCUUAUACUGACUACAAGAGCCUGGGAGAUGAAGAAAGUCCUGAAGAGAGGGCAUCUGUCAUCCAUUUUCUGGUGUUUGCUCCUGAAUAGACCUUUACCAUGUUCCAUUUCACACAGCACUGCAAACAAGAUAAUGAGUGAUUAAUGUACUCUGGUAACUCCAUGGGCACGCUGAGCGACACGCCAGCUGCUCCCGCUGAAGCCCAGGGAUUACUGAGAAGAUUAAAGAAAUCUUUGGCCUGCACCAAAAAAUGAAGAGACAGAGUUACAUAAGGGGAAUUAAUUCGAAAUGUGAUAGUGGAAAAAAGCAUCAUUGCUUUUAAAGCGUAAAAUAAAUGAGGUUUUAUUCUACAAUAUGUGCAAUAAAGUUCUAAUAGCUAUGAAAAAUAAAUGAGGACUGUACAGUGGUGUAAUAAAUGUGAAGUGAUUCUGUCUCUAUGAAGAUCAUAAGGGUCAUUUUUUUGCUACACUAACAUAGUGCUUCAUUGCCUCUGAGAUUAAUUUGGGUUCCCACCUGUCAUACAGAGGUUAUAACUGAAAUCAAGAAAAAAAACAGAAAGAUUAAAAAAAAAAUCAUUUAUGAGGAAAAAAAAAAGAUACAGAAACAAGUCCUAAAUCCUGAUGUUUCUUUUGGAUUGAGAUUGGAGUAUUUUAGUCCUUGGUCCUUGAAUAGCUGUAAAGGAGUGGUAAAACCAGUCAUAGAAUAAUUCUGGUGCUCUGUACCAGAAAUAUGGAGAAAGGACAGCAGGCAAUUCCUAUGUAAACACUAGAGGUUAAAGAUUCAGCUCUAAACUCUGACCUUGCCUUUUUGUGUCAUCAGCAUAUAUUUCCUUGGUCUUUUUUCUUUCUCUUACAUAUUGUCAGAAUUACUUUACUUAUUUCCAUGAAUGCUUUUUUCAAUCCCAAGAUGAACAUUUUCUUGUGUGUAGUACGUUUCCAUAUGACUUUUAACUGUAAGAUAACUGUAAAAGAAACUACAAUUCAUCAGCCUUGCUGGUAAUACAAGAGAAAGCAUUGUCCCAAACAUCUUUCCUGGCAGUCUUCCUGCUUCUGACCUUUCUCCAGCUCUGGGUUUCUGAUCUAUUGGAUAUGAUGAGUAACUUGGUAACACGAGUAAGAGUUUGCCUUUAGAUGAAUGGAAGCUGAGGUACAGGUUGCAUAUACGACAAUACUGUUUUUAAAAUGUCCAGCUGCCAUAUUUUUAUCACUCUUGGCUUUGAAUUAAUGUGUAACUGGGACAACUGGAAAUACUGUAGUGAUGUGAACUGUGGUGCUGGCUCUCAAAUGAAAUGUCAUUGCCAUUGCAGUCAUUAUUUAAAUGGCCUUCUAGAAAAAGAGAUUUAGGUAAGAAACAGCAAAUUGGGAAAUGGAAUUUGAAUGACAACAUGAUCUAACAUGCACAGUGUUUACAGAGCUGGUGCAAUAAAUUACCUGAGUUAACAUAUACAAUCACAGAAAGAGAAGAAAGUUGGAAGUAGAAGAUAGCUCCAGUGCAGUUUAAAGCUGAUACUGUCUCUCAGAUGAUUUUUUUCCCUAUUUGGUAAUGUGCUAACUUAUGAUACAGAAUCGUAUCAUUGAACAUUUGAGGUUUUUAAAAUUACUGUUGUUAUUCCACUAAGUCUCACUAUUUCUUAUAUUCCCUUGCUGUUCUUCAUGUUCCAGCCAGGGUAUAUCUCGGUGGCCAGGGUGACAUUUAUCAGGUGUUCAGUGUUUUUUACUAUGGCAGUCUUGCCAAUGCAAUAACUUGUUUUGCUGCUCUUUCUCCUUCCCUGCUCUACCUCUUCCUUCCUCUGCCCUUUCUUCUGCUCACACUUGGCUGUGGAGUCCUGCCCCAUCCUUGAACUAGUUGUGAGCCAUAACUGAGCUAAUUUAUGUUUCUAACAAAAUGAGCUAAAACAGAAGGGCCUGACAAGUGCCAGACCCAGCUGAACAAGCUGGCUGAGAGUAGGGGGAGGGCUGGAAAAUAAUGGUCUAUGCAGAGGGGUUCUUCAGUUCUGUCACGAGAGACAAGCCUUACUGGCUUUGUGGCUGUUUGCUUGUGUUUGCUAACAGAUUAUAGAGGAAUUUUUGAGGGAUACAUUCCGUGCAGGUAGCUCAGGGGGGAGCUGAGGUGUGAGUUCUGGGGGGCAGGAGCCUGAGGAAAGAGGCCAUGAACUGCUGACCCUUUUCAUGACAAAGGGCAUGGGGACCUGGGGCACAGCCAGGUGAGGGACACUCAGAGACACGGCAGGAGCCAAUGGCCCCAGACUCUACUGCACUUA